UCCGCCGUUUGGAGCUAAGAGCUAAAAGAGCUGGAGCCAUUUCUCUUUUUCUUCCUAGACAACAAAGUAGCUGAAAAAUACACGCUAGAAACAAAAAAAAAAGCUAGGGACCUAAGAGAUAUGGCAAUCAGCAGUGACACAUUUUGGGAAUUGACCGUUUUGUCUUCUUCAAAAUCAAAGAAAAACCAAAAAAAAAUUGGACGCCUAAGGCCUAAAGGAACCGGCCGGAAAAGACAACAAAAAUGAAAAACGGAUUUUGGACUUAAGAGCUCUGUAGUCUUUGCCUUGGCCAUAAACCACCUCCAAUUCAUUUUCAAAUCUGUUUAAUCCGUCGAAGUCACUGCCAUGCCGGCACUUCGCCGGGGUUUCUCCAUUUCCGGUCCAGCUUGAGUUCUGUCGAGGUCCGAGCUUUGGUGCGAUAGAGUUUUCUAUUUGGAUCUCUUGUACGUCGGCUCGGAUUGAUGAGAGGUGCAUCUGGCCAUUAGUCUGGCGCGUAGAUUUGAUUCCUCAGCUUGAGACUUUUCCGGUGAGCUGCCCUUUUUGAGCUGUUCUGCAGCAGCUGGAGUCUCCCUUAUGUCUUUAUUUUUCCUGUCUAUUCCUCUCCAAACAGUAGGGUAGUUGGUUUUGUAUAUUCUACUAGACUACCCUCAUAUUUGUGACACCAGGUCUUGGCAUACACACUAGUAGACUUAUGAUUUUGGCUUAAUUACAUGAUUACAAUUCGUAUU